rnacentral:rRNA from 1 species
GAGUUUGAUCGUGGCUCAGAUUGAACGCUGGCGGCAGGCCUAACACAUGCAAGUCGAGCGCGAAAGUCUUCGGAUGAGUAAAGCGGCGAACGGGUGAGUAAUACAUGGGAAUCUGCCUGGUAGUGGGGGACAAACGUUUCGAAAGGAACGCUAAUACCGCAUACGCCCUACGGGGAAAGGGGGGAUCUUCGGACCUCUCGCUAACAGAUGAGCCCAAGUCGGAUUAGCUAGUUGGUAGGGUAAUGGCCUACCAAGGCGACGAUCCGUAACUGGUCUGAGAGGACGACCAGUCACACCGGAACUGAGACACGGUCCGACUCCUACGGGAGCAGCAGUGGGGAAUAUUGGACAAUGGGCGAAAGCCUGAUCCAGCGACGCCGCGUGGGUGAAGAAGG